rnacentral:rRNA from 1 species
GAUGAACGCUAGCUACAGGCUUAACACAUGCAAGUCGAGGGACCGGCGCACGGGUGAGUAACACGUAACCAACCUGCCCUUUACUCGGGGAUAGCCUUUCGACAGAAAGAUUAAUACCCGCUGUCAAGGAUGGGGAUGCGUUCAAUUAGGUUGUUGGUGAGGUAACGGCUAACCAAGCCUUCGAUGGAUAGGGGUGCUGAGAGGAAGUUCCACCACAUUGGAAUUUAGACACGGUCCAAACUCCUACGGGAGGCAGCAGUGAGGAAUAUUGGUCAAUGGGCUUUAGCCUGAACCAGCCAAGUAGCGUGAAGGAUGAAGGCUUAUGGGUCGUAAACUUCUUUUAUAUAAGAAUAUGUAUUAUAUGAAUAAGGAUCGGCUAACUCCGUGCCAGCAGCCGCGGUAAUUC